ensembl:lncRNA
CUUUUCUUUUUUUUUUUUUUUUUUUUUGAGACGGAGUCUUACUCUGUCGCCAGGCUGGAGUGCAGUGGUGCAAUCUCAGCUCACUGCAACCUCCACCUCCAGGGUUCAAGCGAUUCUCCUGCCUCAGCCUCCCAAGUAGUUGGGGCUACAGGCACUUGCCACCAUACCCGGCUAAUUUUUGUAUUUUCAGUAGAGACGUAGUUUUACCAUGUUGUUCAGGAUGGUCUCCAUCUCUUGACCUCGUGAUCUGCCCGCCUCGGCUUCCCAGAGUGCUGGGAUUACAGGUGUGAGCCACCGCGCCCGGCCAUGUUGUUAUGUUUCAUACACAUGUGUGUGUAUGCGUAAGUACACAUAUAGACACACUUAACAUUACACGAUGUACAUGCUAGUGUUGGAGAUACAAAAAUGACUUUAUGCUUACCCUAAAGGCUUCCCUAAAAGACAAAGAAUUGUGGGACAGUUUGAUAAAUGUCAUAAGAGAUAUCAGUAAGUGCUAAAAAUAGCACAGAGAGGCAUGAUUUCCUCUGCUUGGGUGUGUCCAGGAAACCUUUACUGAGAAGGGAACAUUUGCAUGGAUCUUAAUAGGAAUUCAAAGAUCACUGGAAGAAGUGUGUGUGUGAGUGAGUGAAGGUGUGGCAGGAAGGGGUGAUGGGAAUGGAGAAAGAUGUUCCAAAAAGGAGAAGUCAUAUGGCCACAGGCCUUGAUGUGAAGCGGCACUGACAUUUAGAAGAGUGUAGAUAGUUCCAUGUGGCUGUCAAGACGGGGCCUUGGGUAGGGAAUAAGAGAGUGAACAGUUGAGCACAGGCUGAGUCUGGAGAGACAUAAGCUUCUAAUUUAUCUUGUAAGUAAAUAGACAUCUUGGAAAGAAUGGAAGCAGAGUGUGACAAGAUCAGAUCUGGACUUUGGAAGGAGGAGGACUCUAACAGUGUGGAGGAUGAAUUGAAGGAAGGACAACUAGGGGCAGCCAGAUCUGUUAAGAGAAGGAGAGGCCAAGACAAGAACCUGCAGAGGUGUCAUGGGAAACACCGCACCUGUGAAGGAUGACGAGCUGGCAGCAGGAGUGGUCAGGAGAGACUUCAAACUGCAGUGCAGGUCAGACACCUGGGAAAGGAGAGCAGACUGGGAAGAGGAUGAUCCUCAAACUGCGGUGCAGCUCCAGGAUGUUCCUGCCAGGCUUAGUGUCCCAGAAUACAGCUCACUUCUUAGCAAGGCCUCACAUCAGGCACAGUGGCCUGUUUCUAGCCCUGUUUCUGGCACUCUCUGUGCUCAGUCAUUGGCCGGGAGCAGCCUGGGGCGGUGUGAACACCCAGCAUAUCCAAAAUACAGCGGCAGGAGGCUGGAGGCUUCUUGCACCAGGUUCUCUUUAAGGGAGACCUGAGCACACUCCCUGCCAGCACAGAGAUGCCUGCAGCAGCACAGUCUGCCCUAAGGCAGUCACGGAAGAAUGGAAAGCAGAUGGGAAAGAGGACCUAGCCUUGUUUGCCAGCACCCCCCUGGUCUGGGAAGGCUGUUUCCCUUCUGGCUUGUGAGGUUGCUGCCCUUGCUCCUUUCUUGGUUGGGGCCAGAAGUUGUCCUCCGCUCUUUUUGAGGACAUCACAGGCUUGGCAGAUGCAGGAGUCAGCUCAGGCUACUGUAACACAUGGCACAGACCAGGUGGCUUAAACAACAGAAAUUAAUUUCCUCAUAUAUCUGGAGGCUGGAAGUCUAAACUCAAAGGUCAGCAGGAUUGGUUUCUUCUGAGGCCUCCCUCCUUGGCUUGUGGACGGCUGUCUUCUCUUUGUGUCUCCACACAGUCUUCCCUCUAUGUGCAUCUGUGUCCUGGUUUCCUUUUCUUAAAAGAACACCAAUCAGAAUGGAUUCGGGCCCACCCUAAUGGCCUUAUUUUAAAUUGAUUACCCCUUAAAAUACCCUGUCUCCAAAUAUUCCGAGAUAUGGGGGUCAGGGCUGCAACAUAGGAAUUUUGGGGGCCACGAUUCAGCCCAUCACAGAAGGUAAGAGAUGUGCUGCCUCCACUGCUCUCUCACACAUCGAGAGCACUGGUCCCUUAGUGUAGGCAGGCUUCUCCUUCCUGUGAGUUCUGCUUCCACUGUGUGACACAAAGAAAGUCAGGUGGGUCCAAGAGACGCCAACAUGCAGAGU